CAAAGAAACUACGAGUCGUCCUUCAAAUUUCCGAUACUCAGUCUAUCGUUAGCGCUUACGCGUGUACAAUCGGCCGCCUUCUGUAAUUGGUUUUUUUUUUCUUUUUUAUACGCUUUCAAGACUACCUGUCCGAUAAACAAGUAUCUAUAUAUAAUCACGAAAUUAAUUCUGUUUUUUUUCCACUUCAAAAAUAAGAGCACGAACAACGAAUGAUAAAUAAUAAGUGGACAUCAAGUGAAACGAGAAGGCCAAAGCUGAGUUAUCGCGCGUUUGCGAUACAAUACUUUGCAAAUACGUUACCAAGUUUUCUCGGAUAGUGGUAUCAAGGCCAGCGUCGUAGCGUAAUUUCAUCCUGAAACGCUAACGUGUUUCUUCUUUCAACGUUAAAGAUUUUGAGCGUUGGUAACGGUAAGACGAGAAUUACGAAGAGGGAUGAUAGCCAUGGGGCCUAGAUAUUAAUACGUACAUCGUGUUCGUACUCUUUGUCGAGCAGCGACGUGUAAGAUCGACUCUGCCAGAGCUAUACCCUCGACCACACCGGUGAUACUUUGUCCCCGUUGCAAGGUGAAAUGCUAACUAAAGGGGAUGUUUUAAUGGCAGAAGAUAAUAAUAUGCCUCCAUUACAAUGGCUAUUCCUAGGUACCCCCAAGAGCCCUCGCAAAAUCCAAGUAAAUCUCAGAUCUACAUAUCUACCUAUGUUAUAUGACAUCCAAGAUUAAUUAACCUGAUUAAUUAUGAAUAAUUUUCAUUGCCUUCUUCUCUAUGUAAACAUAUUCAAAUACGUAGAUAAAUAUAUACUCACGCAUAUACAUAUGUCUGCUAUCUCGCUUAUACAAUUUUGUGUGAGAAUGAAAUCGCAUUAUGACCUAUCAAAUUCAAAAAGGAAAUCUAGUGAAACGAUGUGCUCUCAAUCGAUUCACAGAUUCUAAUUCGCAUGGACGAUCACGCUUCGCAAAAUAUUCAGAUAUAUAUGAAUUUGUUAGAAAAUAAAAAAAAAAUUCAAAUGCAUGAAAAUACUAAGCUUUCCAGUUGGUCUUCGUAGCCUGUUGUUAUCUCAAAAUGUGAGGUGAAAAUAUCAAAGCCAUGUUUCAUCUUUUUUCUUUUUGUUAGAUUUUAAAUACACGAUGAAAUAUCAAAGGAAAAAAAUGGACAACAUGCAUACAUUCUAAUAGAUCUUUUUAACGUUGAUCUCUAACAUGUUUUUGAUGAAAUUAAUUGGCUGGUGUAUUUGGGUCACAUGAUCGAUCUACUAUAUCUCUGUUUACUCUGUUACGGAUUCUCGUCCAUUGAAGUUACCAUCAUGUCUUACUUUUUAUAUUUAGCGUAAACAAUCGAUAUAUCAUACAAUUCCGUGAAAUAUCAAAUACAACCAUGCUUUUGGUUUCUAAUAACAAAGACUACGGUCUCGUAAAAGCUUGCACAUUCGACUUGUCAAGAUCAAACAGAAGUGUACGAGAUCAAAUAAAACGGGUGUUUCGUAAACUUUUCUUAGAAAAAACAAACUGAAUUGCUUAUAUUUGCACUUUUUAAGUAUCGACGAAUAUGUGUCAUCGACGUCGUAAAAAAAAUAGUUUACAUCUAUCUUACUUAUAUUGUGGCACAUACACACAUACACACAUACACACAUACACACACACACAGACAUAUAUAUAUAUAUAUUUGAGACAAAGCAAUGUAACGAGAAAUUGUUCCCAUCUAUUCUUCCUUUUUCGCAAAUCGCCGAAUGGAGAUGAAACAGGACAAUAGUAAAAGAUGUAGAAAAAAAAACUACGAUUCAAUUGAAAAAUUGAUUUUAUAUACCAAUGACUAGCGGCAACAAUUUUUUCGUUCCAUUUCAAAUGAUUAUAAAAUACUAAAUUGAGUUCGACGAAAGAUGCUCUUUUUUCUAUGACGUGCACUUGAAAACUUAUAAACGUUUGGUGGUCGGCAUUGAAGCGCUGCAUCUGUCGUAUCUGUUUACGAAGGAUGGAUACAGUGUACAAAGAAAAUAUAUAGAAUACAAUAAAUUAAUUCGAAUCUAUCAUCAUCGUUAUGUUUACCAUUUUAUUACGCAGAUCAUUUUCGCUUUCUCAUGCAUUGUGACGCAAUACAUAUUUAAUGUUGGACAGAUGUCAACGGAUCGGUAUAUAUAGCAUAUGAAUGGUGAAUACAAUAUUCCAAGCUUUUGUUAAAUGUAAAGGAAUGCAAUAAAUUUACCUGUCCAAAUGGACGUAAAUAUGUAUUUACAUACUACAUACGAUUCUAAUAAAUCCGAGACGCAAA